CGUGAGGAACCUACCUUCAAGUGGGGAAUAACUCGCAGAAAUGCGAGCUAAUACCGCAUGUGGUUGCGGAGUGGCAUCACUCUGCACCUAAAGAUUUAUCGCUUGGAGACGGCCUCGCGGCCUAUUAGCUAGUUGGUGGGGUAACGGCCUACCAAGGCGAUGAUGGGUAGCUGGUCUGAGAGGACGAUCAGCCACACUGGGACUGAGACACGGCCCAG
rnacentral:rRNA from 1 species